rnacentral:rRNA from 1 species
UACGAAGGGUGCAAGCGUUACUCGGAAUUACUGGGCGUAAAGCGUGCGUAGGUGGUUUGUUAAGUCUGUUGUGAAAGCCCCGGGCUCAACCUGGGAAUGGCAAUGGAUACUGGCAAGCUAGAGUGCGGUAGAGGGUAGUGGAAUUCCGGUGUAGCGGUGAAAUGCGUAGAGAUCGGGAGAACACCAGUGGCGAAGGCGGCUACCUGGACCAGCACUGACACUGAGGCACGAAAGCGUGGGGAGCAAACAGGAAUUGAGAAACCCCCGGUAGGUCCGCAAGACCGAAGU